GCCUGGGUGGCUCAGUCGGUUGAGCGUCCGACUUCAGCUCAGGUCAUGAUCUCAUGGUUCGUGGGUUCGAGCCCCGCAUCGGGUU
rnacentral:tRNA from 1 species